rnacentral:rRNA from 1 species
CGCCCGCCGACGGCCCCCCUGAACGCUGUCUGAAGUUGCAGUCUGAGACCUAUAACGAAAUUAGUUAAAACUUUCAACAACGGAUCUCUUGGUUCCGGCAUCGAUGAAGAACGCAGCGAAAUGCGAUAACUAAUGUGAAUUGCAGAAUUCAGUGAAUCAUCGAGUCUUUGAACGCACAUUGCGCCCUCUGGUAUUCCGGAGGGCAUGCCUGUCCGAGCGUCAUUGCUGCCCUCAAGCCCGGCUUGUGUGUUGGGCCCCGUCCCCCCCGCCGGGGGGACGGGCCCGAAAGGCAGCGGCGGCACCGCGUCCGGUCCUCGAGCGUAUGGGGCUUCGUCACCCGCUCUAGUAGGCCCGGCCGGCGCCAGCCGACCCCCAACCUUUAAUUAUCUCA